rnacentral:rRNA from 1 species
UACGGAGGGUGCAAGCGUUAUCCGGAUUCACUGGGUUUAAAGGGUGCGUAGGUGGGUUGGUAAGUCAGUGGUGAAAUCUCCGAGCUUAACUUGGAAACUGCCAUUGAUACUAUCAGUCUUGAAUACCGUGGAGGUCAGCGGAAUAUGUCAUGUAGCGGUGAAAUGCUUAGAUAUGACAUAGAACACCAAUUGCGAAGGCAGCUGACUACGCGAAUAUUGACACUGAUGCACGAAGGCGUGGGGAUCAAACAGG